rnacentral:rRNA from 2 species
AACCGCAUGGUUCUUGGCUGAAAGAUGGCGUAAGCUAUCGCUUUUGGAUGGACCCGCGGCGUAUUAGCUAGUUGGUGAGGUAACGGCUCACCAAGGCAAUGAUACGUAGCCGAACUGAGAGGUUGAUCGGCCACAUUGGGACUGAGACACGGCCCAAACUCCUACGGGAGGCAGCAGUAGGGAAUCUUCCACAAUGGACGCAAGUCUGAUGGAGCAACGCCGCGUGAGUGAAGAAGGCUUUCGGGUCGUAAAACUCUGUUGUUGGAGAAGAAUGGUCGGCAGAGUAACUGUUGUCGGCGUGACGGUAUCCAACCAGAAAGCCACGGCUAACUACGUGCCAGCAGCCGCGGUAAUACGUAGGUGGCAAGCGUUAUCCGGAUUUAUUGGGCGUAAAGCGAGCGCAGGCGGUUUUUUAAGUCUGAUGUGAAAGCCCUCGGCUUAACCGAGGAAGUGCAUCGGAAACUGGGAAACUUGAGUGCAGAAGAGGACAGUGGAACUCCAUGUGUAGCGGUGAAAUGCGUAGAUAUAUGGAAGAACACCAGUGGCGAAGGCGGCUGUCUGGUCUGUAACUGACGCUGAGGCUCGAAAGCAUGGGUAGCGAACAGGAUUAGAUACCCUGGUAGUCCAUGCCGUAAACGAUGAAUGCUAGGUGUUGGAGGGUUUCCGCCCUUCAGUGCCGCAGCUAACGCAUUAAGCAUUCCGCCUGGGGAGUACGACCGCAAGGUUGAAACUCAAAGGAAUUGACGGGGGCCCGCACAAGCGGUGGAGCAUGUGGUUUAAUUCGAAGCAACGCGAAGAACCUUACCAGGUCUUGACAUCUUUUGAUCACCUGAGAGAUCAGGUUUCCCCUUCGGGGGCAAAAUGACAGGUGGUGCAUGGUUGUCGUCAGCUCGUGUCGUGAGAUGUUGGGUUAAGUCCCGCAACGAGCGCAACCCUUAUGACUAGUUGCCAGCAUUUAGUUGGGCACUCUAGUAAGACUGCCGGUGACAAACCGGAGGAAGGUGGGGAUGACGUCAAAUCAUCAUGCCCCUUAUGACCUGGGCUACACACGUGCUACAAUGGAUGGUACAACGAGUUGCGAGACCGCGAGGUCAAGCUAAUCUCUUAAAGCCAUUCUCAGUUCGGACUGUAGGCUGCAACUCGCCUACACGAAGUCGGAAUCGCUAGUAAUCGCGGAUCAGCACGCCGCGGUGAAUACGUUCCCGGGCCUUGUACACACCGCCCGUCACACCAUGAGAGUUUGUAACACCCGAAGCCGGUGGCGUAACCCUUUUAGGGAGCGAGCCGUCUAAGGUGGGACAAAUGAUUAGGGUGAAGUCGUAACAAGGUAGCCGUAGGAGAACCUGCGGCUGGAUCACCUCCUUUCUAAGGAA